GCUUGCUGUACCCAGAGAGAUGGGCUGAGUUUCCUGUAAGGGGCAGGUCUGUAAAGGGGGCUGGUCUGUACAGAGCUGUAUAAGUCCUCCAGACUCUCAGCUCCUCCAACACUUCAGCAUCAGCACAGCUACAGACAGCUGGAGGAGGUGCAGCUAAACUACAAGCCUAGCAACUCUAAAGCUAUUUGACUCAUAGCCUGCCGCAGUCUUCCUACAACCACAUCAAGUACAACUAUGGUGUGUGCAGGUGUGCUGAGGGGACUCCAUCUUGUUCUGUCUCUUCUUCUCUGGAGUCUGGGGUGUGGAAAAAACUCUGGACCAGAAUACUCUCGCACCUGCCAUUACGUUUCUUCGCCAAAACUAUCAACCGGGACAAAACCAGGUUGCCAUAGCCUUCAACGCGCCUGUAGAUAAGUGUGCUGACUACCUCGACAACAACUUCCUUAACACAUAUCCUGGUAGCAUUGUGAAGAAGGAUCUUAACAGUCCUGAACGUCUCUACAAGGGUCAAAAACUGAUUGCAGCUAGACCAAAGCCCAUUACAGGAUCAACAAAAAACCAACAUUCAGAGUAUCUUCUCAUGAAUGUACCCAAUGUAGCUACGUCUCUCAUGAAAAAACUGCUAGAUAAUGACAAGACAGGAUGUGUGGUGUUCUAUACUUAUAAUUCCCCUUGCACAAGUACCUGCACCAAACCUGGGGGCUGCUACAGUAUCAUACAGGCUCUAGACAUGUUCAAGGACCACAAGGGUCCAAAGGCUUUUGUCUUUACAAAGGUAUGGAAGUAUGAUUGUGACAAAGAUAUUUCCACCAACCUUAAAGAAGUCCUAAAGCGUGUCCCCCUCUAUCGUUGUAAAGAUAACAAUAAUUGUGUUGCUUGUACAGACAAAAAUCUUAAAGACUGCAUGUCUGGUGAGAACAGACUGCUUGAAAAAUAUGAUCUCUAGGUCACACAAUGAACACAGAGUCUAAAAAAUGUUUAGAAGACAAGCCUAGCAAUGUCUGAGAGACUUGUCCUGCAUUGUCUGAAGAAGUGCACAGUAAAUGUUAAACCUUUCCACUGUCUGGAUUGCUUUUAGCAAUUUUUAAAAAUUCUGCAAUAAGCCUUUAAAUGAAAAAUAUUAAAAUGUGUUUGGCCUGGGUAGUCAAAAUUUGCCUUUUUAAUGUCAUUCUUAUGUUCUGAGAUUCUGUCUUUGAGAUGCCUCUUUGUUUGUAAAAAGAACAUUAGGGGUGGUGACAGAUUAAGACUACUACUACUAAUAGAAACUUUUUAUAUAUACAAUUUGCAGGCCAUGACAUAUCCAGGACUAAACGAAGAUAUUGACUUCAGUCCUUUUCUGUAAUUGUUAUUUUGUUUAAUGGGGCUCUGAUUCUUGUAUUCAUUGGUGUUCUUGCCUAAGGGAUAUGACCACCUAAUGGCCUUUUCUUGUAUUGUUUACCUGGGAAUUAAUUACCUCUUGUGAAGUCAUUUCCUGUGUUAUCCAGGAAUUAGAAAUUAGCAUAAAUACAUUAGGGAAACCAGGCACCAAACACCGUACUCAAAUUGAAGGACAAAAAAACACAAAUACCUUACU